GUCCACGUGGUCUGCGCCACAAAGGCCGCACUGCAUUCAUCAUGCAAGCGCCGCACAGCGCGGGGUGCGGAGGCGGGGGGAGGAAUUUGGGGGGGGGGGGUGCGGGGGGCGUCUGCUGACUCCAUUUGACUCACCGAUUCCUCUCGGCCGGCGUGGCAGCCGAGAACAGACUCCAUUCCUGUUUUCAUUCAGUAACUGUUCCGCCUCGGUCACCGGAGCUUGUACGCCUCGCGCUCGCUGGACUUCCAGCUCACCGUGGUUUGUUUAUGUUCCUUUGUUUCGGCAGCUCACCUUGUUCUUUGAAGUGUUUCCAUCCAAAAUUUUCAUUUUCCCUCGAGUCGGGAGGUUUUGCCAGUGGACGGUAGACCCCGCGGGAUUUCCGCGCCUGAUCCCAGUUUCUCGCGAAAGUGUACCUCUGCGUUCCGCAAGAAGUGAGUGGCCGCUAACCUCAUUUUUCGCAACGCUUCCUGGAUGAUCCUCGGCACGACUCUGGCUUCGGGAUUGUGUAGUCGCUCUGACGGCGUCGGAUCGGGUGCAUUUUUUGCGUCUGCGCGUUUGGCGUCGGGAGUUUGUUUUGGUCCGGCGUGCAGUGUUUGUUUACAUGAUGUUAUCGUGAUGUGUGAGGUGUGAAAAUGAACGAGGAUAUCGCUUUUCUGGACUGGGCCGAGAAGCUGGAUUCUGGCACCAAUCACUGGCUCCCAGCUUACGGCUUCCAGCAGCCCUCGCAUAUCCAGGAGGUGCUCUUGCAGGAGAGAAAUUCCGAUAAUAUAAACGAUGAUGACCAUGGAUGCGGAAGUGGUGGUGGUACAUUUCUUUUCUUGGAAACGAUCGUAGAAGAGACCUCGGACGAUUUGCGGAGCGAGAGCGAUUAUUCAGUAGGCCCAGUGGGCUGGCCCGACAGUGACAGCGAUGCUCCCUCAGUUAUACACGUUCCUAAUCAUUUUGAAUCAACUUCCGUGUGGAAUGGGUCCGAGCGCGACCUGGCUGUGCCGAAAAAGCGUCGGCGGCGUGGUGGGGGCGGAGGCGGAGGGGUCCACAACACGGACCCGGGGGUCCACGACGAGGAAGACGAGGCCGACGACGAGGAGCAACCCUCCCGAUCGUCAUCCCUGCUUCAGUUCGAGACGUUAGAGCGCCACUGUCUCGACUAUGAGACCGUCUUCAAGACCUCGGCCACGUCGGAGCCGUUCCUCCACGCCUCCUCCUCGCUCAACUCCCACUUCUACCUGGACCAACCCAAAUGGACCUUCACCACCUUCAAGCCCCCGAAAGAGCCCGACGAGGACCUCUCCUCGCUUUCCUCCCAGUGUUCCUCCACCUCGAGCCGCGAGAUCUCCUCUUCCGAGAAUGAGGCAUCGCUCCUGAGCCGCUGCUCCAAGUCCAUCUCGUCGCAGCCAGACCGCAGCACCGUCCAGCGAGGACCGUCCAGCCUCAGAACCUUCCGCAGCUUCGACAGCCUCGUCCCGGAUCGACCCAGUGUUCCUGAGAAAUCAAACGAUUUCGCCUCCCUGAAUUCCUUAAGGUUCAGCGACAAAUCCCAGAGCUUGAACCUCAACGAAGCGUUCCUGGACAGCUUCGAGGACGAACCCGCGUCGACCGUGAUCCCGGUGUCGCGGAGCUUUUACAAGACGGUGGACUGUCUGUCGUCCCUGGACAGCACGGACGCGAAGAAACGGGACAGCCUGGAGUACAAAGACACAGACCCCGAGAAGAAGGUCGAGCAGGAGGCGGAAAAAAUCCAGGGCGUCCAGAGGAGUAAAGACGACGCGGCGAAGGUGUAUCUCCAGAGAUCGGCCGAGAACCUCUCGGAGGAUUCAGGGUUCGGGGACGGGCACGCCCUGAAGGGCUCGGUGAGCAGUCUGUUGCAGCUGCGGCGUACGAGCAGCUCCAGCGCCGUCUUCCCGAUCCCCGAAGACGAGGCGGACUUCCAGUACUCCCCGCGCCCCGUCUUGCCCAGGCCGCCCGACGAGGGCACGCGACCGGCGGCGGCGGGCGCGGAGAAGCUAAAAUUAGCAAAAGGCGGAGAGGAAAUUCCUCGGGGAGAGGAAGGCCCCGCGGCUAUAAAUAGCUCUUGGCAAAGCGGAACCGCAGCCGACGGCGAUGUUGAGCGGGCCGCUUCAGUAGUGAGCUGUGCGUCGCCGGUGUCGUGCGGCCCGAAACCCUCCAAAGUCAACCGUAGCUUGUUGAGUGAGUUCAGUGCCAGUGAAAAAGAUGAAGCGGUGAUCCGGACGGAACCCAAACGCGAGCCACCGCCUUUACCCACCGCCCCAGUGCCGACGCGGGCGAGAGUCGUGCGGAACGACUCCUUCAAAAUGGCCUCCCGACUACCCGUCGUGUCGACCCCGAACCUCCACAACCUCAUCACCGACGAAGAGUUUGCCCAGAUCCAGGAGCACAAGACGCAGUUGUUGCAGGAAGAUGAGUACCUCUCGCGGUCGUAUUCGCUCAAAAAGAUGGCCACCAACUUCUCCGAGUCGAAGCUCAACAAAAAGAACUCGAAAUCCAGCGGGAGCAAUAUCCAAAUCACGACGAGCUUCGUGAACCUCAGCUCGACGACCAACGGCUCCAACAAAGGCGUCCACUUCUGCCCGAUCGUCUCGGAAGUGAGCUGGCAGGAGACGUACUCCUCGGACGAGGAGAGCUCCGGCGAGGAGUACGAGAGCGAGGACAACGAGUACUCGGAACUAAACGGAUCGGGCUCAUCGGGAUCCAGCCCGGAGAAGGAUUCGUCGUCGUCGCCGGACCUGGACGCCCUCGUCGAGAAGCUCCUGUCGAGCGGGAACAGCGGGGAGCCGCGGAGGGAAAUCAUGGAGCGACGCAACUCGGAGCGCGCCAAGAUGAUGCAGGAGUACAUCAAACAGAACAUAAUCGGCGGCAACAUGCACAUGCACGACCGCAGCUCGCCCUUGCCCUCCGCCCUGAUGGCGACGGCGGCGGUGGGAGCCCACGCUGGCAGUCACGUGGCGGGGCCCGUCCGCGCUCACUCGGCUCCCGCCAGCGCCGCGCCAGUCUCCGCCCGAACCAUGGACGAACCGGUCUCCAAGCGCAAGUCCAACAAGCUCGGCGGCUUCUUCCAGCGCUUCUCCUUCCGCCGUCGGAAACCGCGCAAGGAACCCGAGCAUCCCAAAGUGCGCGCUGAGGAUAAUCACCACAAUCUCAACCUCAAUAAUAAUAAUAACAAUUCGGAUAGUGCUGUGAAAAGUGCGGAGGUUCUGGUCAUACCGCUCCACGAUGCCGGAACCGGAACCGGUGUGUCCGACUCGGAGGUGGUGGUGUCGAGCAAGCCGCCGCUCCCCAAGUUACCGCCGCGGACGGUCGGGGUGGGUUCGUCGCAGGGGGUGCAGGGGGUGAAAAGGUCGCCUCCGCGUCGGCGCCCCGAGUGCGGGGAUGUGGGUUGUCGGGCGCGGGCUCGGGCGCCGCCGUCAGUACCAUGUCUAAUGUCGGCUCUAUCGAUCCAACGUCGCGGGUCGGGCUCCUGGAGACGGAUUUGGACUCGAACGUGA
rnacentral:lncRNA from 1 species